rnacentral:rRNA from 1 species
UAGCAUAUCAAUAAGCGGAGGAAAAGAAACCAACAGGGAUUGCCUCAGUAACGGCGAGUGAAGCGGCAAGAGCUCAAAUUUGAAAUCUGGAGCCUUCGGCUUCCGAGUUGUAAUUUGAAGAGGAUGUUUCGGUCGCGGCCUGGGCCUAAGUUCCUUGGAACAGGACGUCAUGGAGGGUGAGAAUCCCGUACAUGGCUGCAGGCUUGCUUCUAUGUGAAACUCCUUCGACGAGUCGAGUUGUUUGGGAAUGCAGCUCAAAAUGGGUGGUAAAUUUCAUCUAAAGCUAAAUAUUGGCGGGAGACCGAUAGCGCACAAGUAGAGUGAUCGAAAGAUGAAAAGCACUUUGAAAAGAGAGUUAAACAGUACGUGAAAUUGUUGAAAGGGAAGCGCUUGCGAUCAGACUCGCUUUCGGUUGAUCAACGUUCCUUCUGGUUCGUGCACUCUGCCGUUUGCGGGCCAGCAUCGGUUGGGGCGGCGGGACAAAGGCUUCGGGAAUGUGGCUCUCUUCGGGGAGUGUUAUAGCCCGUCGCGUCAUGCCGCCAGCUCCGACCGAGGUCCGCGGUUCGCCUAGGAUGCUGGCUUAAUGGUCGUAAGCGACCCGUCUUGAAACACGGACCAAGGAGUCUAACAUCUAUGCGAGUCUUUGGGUGUCAAACCCAUGGGCGAAAUGAAAGUGAACGGAGGUGGGAGUCCUCGGAUGCACCAUCGACCGAUCCUGAUGUUCUCGGAUGGAUUUGAGUAUGAGCAUAGCUGUUGGGACCCGAAAGAUGGUGAACUAUGCCUGAAUAGGGUGAAGCCAGAGGAAACUCUGGUGGAGGCUCGCAGCGGUUCUGACGUGCAAAUCGAUCGUCAAAUUUGGGUAUAGGGGCGAAAGACUAAUCGAACCAUCU